GACUACUGGGGUAUCUAAUCCUGUUUGAUACCCACGCUUUCGUGCAUCAGCGUCAAUCGCGGAUUCGUGAGAUGCCUUCGCAAUCGGUGUUCUGUGUGAUAUCUAUGCAUUUCACCGCUACACCACACAUUCCUCCCACGGCAUCCGCAUUCCAGCAAGGCAGUAUCAAUGGCACUUCACCCCGUUGAGCGGGGGCAUUUCACCGCUGACUUACCUCACAGCCUACGCACCCUUUAAACCCAAUAAAUCCGGAUAACGCUUGCAUCCCCCGUAUUACCGCGGCUGCUGGCACGGAGUUAGCCGAUGCUUAUUCGUACGGUACUCUCGUCUGGCCACACGUGACCAUUAUUGCUCCCGCACAAAAGAAGUUUAACGCCCAUAGGGCACUGACCUUCACGCGGCAUGGCUGGUUCAGCCUUCCGGCCAUUGACCAAUAUUCCUCACUGCUGCCUCCCGGUAGUC
rnacentral:rRNA from 1 species